UACAGAGGUCUCAAGCGUUGUUCGGAUUCAUUGGGCGUAAAGGGUGCGUAGGUGGCGCGCUAAGUCAGGUGUGAAAUUUCGGAGCUUAACUCCGAAACUGCAUUUGAUACUGGCGUGCUUGAGGACUGGAGAGGAGACUGGAAUUCAUGGUGUAGCAGUGAAAUGCGUAGAUAUCGUAAGGAAGACCAGUGGCGAAGGCGGGUCUCUGGACAGUUCCUGACGCUGAGGCACGAAGGCCAAGGGGAGCAA
rnacentral:rRNA from 1 species